rnacentral:SRP_RNA from 1 species
GCUGGGCAUGGUGGUGCAUGCCUGUAAUUCCAGCUACUUGGGAGGCUGAGGCAGGAGAAUUGCUUGAACCCGGGAAGCAGAGGUUGCAGUGAGCUGAGAUCGUGCCACUGCACUCCAGCCUGGGUGACAGAGCGAGACUCUGUCUAAA